rnacentral:lncRNA from 10 species
CCCAGGCUGAAGUGCAGUGGCGCCAUCUCAGCUCACUGCAACCUCCACCUCCCGGGUUCAAGCAAUUAUCCUGCCUCAGCCUUCCAAGUAGCUGGGAUUACAGGCACAUGCCAGAAAAUGAAGUUCUUCUCUGCAAUUUUCUACCAACUACUUUAAGAGUUUCUCGUCAAUGGUGACCAACAGGAAUUUGAAAAGAUAAUCAUUAAACAACCUUGGCCCCCAAUCUUUCCCAGUUUAUCUCAAUAUGACAUACACCUCCUUUAUUGUUUUCUACAUGUGGAAUCACGUGAAAAAGGUUAGGAAGCAUUAAGUUAAAGUAAAUUAACUAUUCAGCCAAAAUAUACAGUGGGAAGGGAGAAGAAAAGUCUAAAAGAUGGUAAAUGAAGAGAGGACAAAUCAUGAAGGACCUAGUUUGACAUGCUAAGAAUUUUACACUUUUUCUAGCCUUUGUCAGCUAGAGGUCUGGAAGAGAGGUAAGCUCUAAUGUUCUAAGUCAUCCAUUGUAUGUAACACAUUAAUUUAUUUCUUAUGCUUCUAGAAUGGUACUAUUUAUGUAUCCAUCCCUGGUAGAAGAAAAGAAUUACUUACUAUUUUGUAUGUUCCAUGGUUCAGAGAAGGAAUCCAGUUAAAGGCUGCAUGUAGCUGGCAAUAGGGAAACACUGAUACGUUAAACAAAAGAGUUAUAUAAUCAGAUAUUUUAUGUGUAACGCUCUUUCUGGAAAGAGUAAAAUUUAAAUUGUUUUAAAUCAAAAUUCAAAUGACCUGGGAUCAAUAAAGACCCCAAUAUUGAUCUAUGUAAAAUCCUACAAGUAGC